UUAAGUGUUUGAUAGCUUAAAGUAUUUAUCAAAGGAAGAUAAUAAGGAAGCCAUACAUACCCCCAAUUGGUAUUCGUGCUUGUUUCCGAGAAAAAACUGUUUAGUUGGAGAAAAACUGAGUAUGGAAUUGAUGACGAAACAUUGUCUGAAGAGAUAGCCGAAAAAGUAGUUUCAUGGCUACAAAACCAAUCUAAUAUUGGCACAUCAUCAACACCAAAAUCAUCUUUUUCUCUAUCAGUUGGAAGUUCUAAGUUAUCAAAGUUGAAAGUCUAAAGCAGAUUUUAGAAGAUAGUCUUAAGGGGAAAUAAUUAACAAGUUUUUAUAAACAAAAUGAUAAUUUGACCGAUUCACUUCGUGCAGAAUUGAUUAAUAUAAUUUUGGAAGAUAUAUUUUUUCAUGAAGCUAAAUUAUCACCAAAAGAUCUGCCAAAUAUAGUGGACGAAAUUGUCAACAACUUCCGCAGUGAGGAAUACUAUUUUAUUCCACGGGGUAGAAAAGCGAAUUCAGGAGGGAAGCUUUGGGAUAACUACGUUAACCAAAAGGCAAAGCGAGCACGCUCUUCAGUUAAAAUUAAAGACAAUUUAGAUGCUUCGAAUUCUAACUCGCUGAGAGUUAAUUCUGAACUCGAUGUAUCAAUUUUACUAGCUUUAAAAGCUAACCUUUCUAGAGAUUUUUCUAUUUGGGAUGAAGUUAAAGAUAAAUGGCAACGAGCAUUCUUGUUACGACAAAAAGAGUUGAAGUCGUCUUCCAAUAAUUAUGAAUUUCUAGAGAACUGGCCUCUUUAUUCUAACGCACGAUCUAAC